rnacentral:lncRNA from 1 species
ACAGACUCUGUAUAUAACAUCGUCUAGUAGUGUCCUACUCCUAGGAGUAGACACAAACAACACAUAAUCAAGUUUUUUAGAUAAUAUAUUCAAGUUUGGUGUAAAAAUAUGUGAAACAAAUAAAUGUGAGACACCAGUAUCAAUCAAAACAUGUGCAAGAUAAUUACAGAUAGUGUAUGUACCCUGUAUCACGUCUGAGUUAGCUUCUGCAUCUUGCUGAGUGAGGUUAUAAGCCCUGCCCUGGAUAGGAGGUCUGGCUUGAUUCUGAUUUCUCAGGCACUCUCUCGCAUAAUGUUGGGCACUCCUAUAUAUAUGGAAAGUAUUGUUGAGGCAAUAGCAGGGCCGAUCCCCAUGAUCUUUGCCGUAGUGCUGACAAGUCCUACCGCGUUCUGUUGUCGGAAUCUGAGGAGGAGCCUGAGUCACUAGCCUAGAUUUCUUGUUCUGCUGAACAAGUAUAGUGGGUGUUGGUCUGCGAUGUGAAAUCGAGGGCUUGAGGUUCCCUACUACUGGAGAAAAAAUACGAAGGUUCCUCUCCACUAGUUGUGCCUUAGAUAGAACGACCGAGUAAGUACUAAGCUCGAACACAUACAGCUCCUGUAUAAUCUCAGGACAGAGGAUCCACUCAAACUUUUUUGCCUU